rnacentral:rRNA from 1 species
CCUACGGGAGGCAGCAGUGGGGAAUAUUGCACAAUGGGCGCAAGCCUGAUGCAGCCAUGCCGCGUGUGUGAAGAAGGCCUUCGGGUUGUAAAGCACUUUCAGCGGGGAGGAAGGCGUUAAGGUUAAUAACCUUGGCGAUUGACGUUACCCGCAGAAGAAGCACCGGCUAACUCCGUGCCAGCAGCCGCGGUAAUACGGAGGGUGCAAGCGUUAAUCGGAAUUACUGGGCGUAAAGCGCACGCAGGCGGCCUGUCAAGUCGGAUGUGAAAUCCCCGGGCUCAACCUGGGAACUGCAUUCGAAACUGGCAGGCUAGAGUCUUGUAGAGGGGGGUAGAAUUCCAGGUGUAGCGGUGAAAUGCGUAGAGAUCUGGAGGAAUACCGGUGGCGAAGGCGGCCCCCUGGACAAAGACUGACGCUCAGGUGCGAAAGCGUGGGGAGCAAACAGGAUUAGAUACCCGUGUAGUC